rfam:Dipodomys ordii contig_42694, whole genome shotgun sequence.
GGGGCUGUGGCUCAAGUGGUAGAGCGCCAGCCUUGAGCUGAAGAGCUGAGGGACAGCGCCCAGCCCCA